UGGAGCACCUCCUCUCCCUCCUCCUUGACUGAUCUUGGUGUCUGCAGGGCUGUUUCUCUCACAUGUUCUCACACCUCUCUCUGGCUACUUCUAUUGUUCAAUGCAA